AUUGAACGCUGGCGGCAGGCUUAACACAUGCAAGUCGAGCGAGAGGAGGACGGGUGAGUAAUGUCUGGGACACUGCCUGAUGGAGGGGGAUAACUACUGGAAACGGUAGCUAAUAACGCAUACCAGCAGAUGUGCCCAGAUGGGAUUAGCUAAGAGUUGGUGUAAUGGUUCACCUAGUCGACGAUCCCUAACUGGUCUGCGAGGAUGACCAGCCACACUGGAACUGAGAGACGGUCCAGACGCAUACGGGAGGCAGCAGUGGGGAAUAUUGCACAAGGGGCGCAAGCCUGAUGCAGCCAUGCCGCGUGUGUGAAGAAGGCCUUCGGGUUGUAAAGCACUUUCAGCGAGGAGGCGUUACUCGCAGAAGAAGCACCGGCUAACGCCGUGCCAGCAGCCGCGGUAAUAC
rnacentral:rRNA from 1 species